UUUCCCCCCCCGGGCCCCGGGCCCGUCCCGCCGCCCCCGCCCGCCUAAGGGAGGCAGCAGUGGGGAAUAUUGCGCAAUGGGCGAAAGCCUGACGCAGCGACGCCGCGUGAGGGACGAAGGUCUUCGGAUUGUAAACCUCUUUCAGCAGGGACGAAGCGAAAGUAACGACA
rnacentral:rRNA from 1 species